rnacentral:sRNA from 1 species
GCUGGGUGUGUUGGCAUGCACCUGUAAUCCUAGCUACUUGGGAGGCUGAGGUGGGAGGAUCACUUGAGCCCAGGAGUUCAAGUGAGCUAUGAUCAUGCCACUGCACUCUGCCUGGGCAACAGAAUGAGACUCUGUCUCUU